rnacentral:rRNA from 1 species
GCAAGUCGAGCGGAAACGAUGGUAGCUUGCUAUCAGGCGUCAAGCGGCGGACGGGUGAGUAACGCGUAGGAAUCUACCUAGUAGUGGGGGACAACAUGUGGAAACGCAUGCUAAUACCGCAUACGCUCUACGGGGGAAAGCGAGGGAUCUUCGGACCUCGUGCUAUUAGAUGAGCCUGCGUAAGAUUAGCUUGUUGGUGAGGUAAUGGCUCACCAAGGCGACGAUCUUUAGCUGGUCUGAGAGGAUUAUC